CCUCCCAUCUCAGCCUCCCAAAGUGCUGGGAUUAUAGGCAUGUGCCACUGCACUUGGCCUGAAUGAUCUUUCAUUCAGUUACUUAAAAUGACACUUUUAGUGGGGGCAUAGGAGCUCAUGCCUGUAAUCCAAGCACUUCACAAGGUGAAGGCAAGAGGGUCCCUUGAGCCCAGCAGUUGGAGACCAGCCCAUGAUCUCACUAGCUAUGGUGAGAUCCCAUAGCAACAACAAUUUUAAAAAUUAGCUGAAUGUGUGGUGUCAUGUGCCUGUGAUCCCAGUUACUCAGGAAGCUGAGCUGGGAGAAUCACUUGAACCCCGGAGGUUGAGGCUGCAGUGAGCAGUGUUCACACCACUGUGCUCCAGCCUGGGUGACAGGGCAAGAGCUUGUCUCAAUCAAUCAAUCAUCAAUCAAUCAAUCAAUUCAACAUGAGUGAAACCACAGCACUUGGGACAUCUGGAAGACUGGACGCGUGAGGCCUGUCCUACUUGCUGAGUAGUCCAACACCCUACCCCCAGGCAGUCUUCCCUGCUCUUGCACACUUCUCUCUCCUGCCAUCCUCUGAAGAGGUGCCUUUCACCAUGACUGUAACUUUCCUGAGGUCUCCCAAGCUGUGCAGAACUGUUAGUCAAUUAAGCUUCUUUUCUUUAUACAUUACCCAGUCUCAGGUACUUCUUUAGACUAAUACAGCACCAUUGAGGAUUUGUUUCUCACUUUAUUUCACUAAGGUAAAAACAGUGGGGGGAAUAAAGUAGAGAAAACAAUACCUGCAAGUAGAAAAGACCCAAAGAAAAUAUGAAACAGCCAUGAGCAACUGAGAUGCAGCAUGCCUUCGAAGUGGGUGCUAGAUUCAGGAAAUGUCUUCCAGGUUCCCCAAAGGAGAGCGAGCCACCUUAAAAUCAUUGGCAGUUUGGGUGAAGAAUGGCAAGGGCACUGUCUUGCACUACAGGGAUCAGCUGUGCCAUGUGCCACAUAACUUCUUUGAACCUCAGUUUCCUCGUCUGUUUAAGUUGAAAAAUGAGAUUUGCCCUACCCACAGCUCCCCACCUUCACAGUCACAGCUCAGAGAGAAGGUGUCAGCACAUGUGUAUGGUGCCCUGAGGCACGUGGACAGUUUCUUGCCACCAGAAACCACCAGCCCAGGGGCCCGCCACCCAGGCUACCUCUGGGGUAUCCUCAGAGCUGAGAGGAGGAUCCAUGCUGCCACCUGCCCAAAGCCCACUUGUGGUGCUCUGGGAAGGUCAGAUUUCAACAUUAAAUGACAUGAGCUGAAAGUUGACGGAGUUUUGAGACUUGUAGUAGGAAAGAGGAUUUGUUAUCAGCUUAUUCUUGUGGGAGGACCUGAAGUCGUCUCAGUACUUAUUUGUGGCUUGCCUUCGAAAGCAUGGAGGAGGCUAAUUCCUCCAACCCGACACAACACACAAAUUGUCCUUCUUCUGCCUUUCCUUCUCUCAUCGCGGGUGAGCGAGUGGGAGAGACAAAGGAAGCAAUGACAGCAAGGUGAAAUGAAAGGAAGGGGAGACCACGAAGGAUUGGCCUUCUGACACCCCUCAGAGGAUGGCUUCAGAGAUGUUUCUGCUCAUUGUGGGCACUGAGAAAGGCCACGAUUUUUUUUCUAGAAAAGAGUGAGACUUUGGCAAGAAUGAAGGCAAGGAGAGAAGAUGCAUGAAAAUGUGUUGGCCUGCUCCUGAAUUGUUCCCAGGACAUGGCUGGGGGAAAAUAGAAAUCAAAGAUCCAUCAAGUCA